rnacentral:tRNA from 2 species
GGAAGGGUGGCCGAGUUGGUUAUGGCGCCAGGUUAAGGUCAGCUUAACAUCUGUUUUCCUGGUGGGGCAACCCGCGCGAGUUCGAGUCUCGUCCCUUUCA